AGGUGUCGCUGUGGACCACCUAAAAAUCCCCUAAAGUCGUCUGGGGCACCUGUGCACACCCGCGAGCGGCCCGCCUAGUCAAGGAGCAACGGGGACACGGACACGGCAGAUACUCAGCAAGUGGUAGCCCUGAGCUUUAUCGCCGUUCUCUCCUACUGGGCAAGCAACGAUUUGCAAAGCCAGAGUUCAGAGCCUGGUGGGGAUCUUCUACAAUUGCAGCAUCCGGAACAGUGGAAUCUGCAGAAAAGAUGGUCACUUCCUGGGCCAACCAACCACGAUUUGGAAGGAGAAAGAGGUCAGCGGGCCCUCUGGUGGGCAUUCUCUGAGACCAAAAGAGCCUCUUACAACUCCAGAGUUUUGUUUAUGAAUUCUCUUUUUAAGGAGUUCGUCUGUGUCUGAAUACCCUGGGAAAAUAAUGCAGUUAAGUUCACUCUAAGGAAACCAUUGCAUAAGAACCUAACCUUGCAAAAUGGAUUUGUUUAUUCAUUCCACAAAUACUUAAAUCUGGUGUGUGACCAGCUUAACAGUUAAUAGGACUAACUAGAUGCCAGGCACAGUUUAUAAGUGCUUUACAGAUAUUGACAAUCAGUCCAGAAAAAAAAAAAACAACAAUUUAGAUGAGUUCUGUUAUGUCUUGGUCCAUCUGAGCUGACAUAACUGAGUGGCUUAAGCAACAGAAAUGUUAUUUCUCACAGUUUUGGGGGCUGGAAAUCCAAGAUCGAGGUGCCAGCAAGGUAGGUUUCAUUUUCUUUCUUUCCUUUCUCUUUCUUCCUUUCUUUCUUUCUUUCUUCUUCCUUAAGAUUUCAUGUUUAAGUAUUCUCUACACCCAAUGUGGAACUCAAACUCACAACACUGAGAUCAAGAGCCUCAGGCUUUACCACCUGAGCCAGCCAGGUGCCCCAAGGUAGGUUUCUUUCUGAGGACUCUUUCUUAACCUUG
rnacentral:lncRNA from 12 species